GUAGGUGGCAAGCGUGGUCCGGAAUUAUUGGGCGUAAAGCGCGCGCAGGCGGUCCUUUAAGUCUGAUGUGAAAGCCCACGGCUCAACCGUGGAGGGUCAUUGGAAACUGGGGGACUUGAGUACAGAAGAGGAAAGCGGAAUUCCAAGUGUAGCGGUGAAAUGCGUAGAGAUUUGGAGGAACACCAGUGGCGAAGGCGGCUUUCUGGUCUGUAACUGACGCUGAGGCGCGAAAGCGUGGGGAGCAAACAGGGAUUAGAUACCCUGGUAGUCCACGCCGUAAACGAUGAGUGCUAAGUGUUAGGGGGUUUCCGCCCCCUUAGUGCUGCAGCUAGCGCAUUAAGCACUCCGCCUGGGAGUACGGCCGCAAGGCUG
rnacentral:rRNA from 1 species